rnacentral:siRNA from 1 species
UGUGAUUCUCUGUGUAAGCG